AUGACAACACUAGAAGAUGGAUCCCUUGGUUCUUCUGUGAAUAGUUACAGCACAGAUACCAGCAGUGCAAGCUUUGCCACACUGCCCUGCCAAUGUGCCUCAUCUCUCUUCCUGAAGGAUCACCUCAAGGGAUGAAAGGGGAGUCUGUGCCUUCAGAGAAAGCAGUGCC
ensembl:misc_RNA